rnacentral:rRNA from 1 species
ACGCUGGCGGCGUGCCUAAUACAUGCAAGUCGAACGGUCUUUCUAUGGAAGCUUGCUUCCACUGAGAAGAUAGUGGCGAACGGGUGAGUAACACGUGGGUAACCUGCCCAUAAGAGGGGGGAUAACAUCCGGAAACGGGUGCUAAUACCGCAUAGUUUUUCUUGAUCGCAUGAUCGGGAAAGGAAAGACGGCCUUUGUGCUGUCGCUUAUGGAUGGACCCGCGGCGUAUUAGUUAGUUGGUGAGGUAACGGCUCACCAAGACGAUGAUACGUAGCCGACCUGAGAGGGUGAUCGGCCACAUUGGGACUGAGACACGGCCCAAACUCCUACGGGAGGCAGCAGUAGGGAAUCUUCCGCAAUGGACGAAAGUCUGACGGAGCAACGCCGCGUGAGUGAAGAAAGGUUUUCGGAUCGUAAAACUCUGUUGUCAGAGAAGAACAAGUUGGAGAGUAACUGCUCCAGCCUUGACGGUAUCUGACCAGAAAGCCACGGCUAACUACGUGCCAGCAGCCGC